CCUAACACAUGCAGUCGAGCGCGCCCUUCGGGGUGAGCGGCGGACGGGUUAGUAACGCGUGGGAACGUGCCCUUUGGUACGGAAUAGCCUCUGGAAACGGAGAGUAAUACCGUAUGAGCCCUUCGGGGGAAAGAUUUAUCGCCAAAGGAUCGGCCCGCGUUAGAUUAGGUAGUUGGUGGGGUAAAGGCCUACCAAGGCGACGAUGGAUAGCCGACCUGAGAGGGUGAUCGGCCACACUGGAACUGAGACACGGUCCAGACUCCUACGGGAGGCAGCAGUGGGGAAUAUUGCACAAUGGGCGAAAGCCUGAUGCAGCAACGCCGCGUGAGCCGAUGAAGGCCUUCGGGUCGUAAAGCUCUGUCCUAAAGGAAGAAUUUUUGACGGUACUUUAGGAGGAAGCCCCGGCUAAUUACGUGCCAGCAGCCGCGGUAAUACGUAAGGGGCUAGCGUUAUCCGGAAUUACUGGGCGUAAAGGGUACGUAGGCGGUUUAUUAAGUCAGGGGUGAAAGGCUACGGCUCA
rnacentral:rRNA from 1 species